rnacentral:rRNA from 1 species
GGGGGGGGGGGGGGGGGGGGGGGGGAGGGGGGGGGGGGGGGGCGGGAGGGGCUUGGCGUGCUGGGACUGAUGGCGGGCGGGGCACGGGGGCGUAGCGCGUAUGCCACGUGCCGCGCAGAGGGGGGUAACCCGUCGAGAGACGGACUAAUACCGCGUACACUGGGGACAUGGCACGCUGACCCACGGAAAUGAAAUUCGCUGUGAGCUAGGCAUGCGUCCCAUUAGCGAGGUGGUGAGGUAACGGCUCACCAAGGCGACGAUGGGUAGGGGAACUGAGAUGUUGAACCCCCACACUGGUACUGAGACACGGACCAGACUCCUACGGGAGGCAGCAGUGAGGAAGAUUGGUCAAUGGGCGAGAGCCUGAACCAGCCAAGUCGCGUGAAGGAUGACUGUCUUAUGGAUUGUAAACUUCUUGUAUACGGGAAUAACAAGAGCCACGUGUGGCUCCCUGCAUGUACCGUAUGAAUAAGCAUCGGCUAACUCCGUG